AUGAACGCUGGCGGCGUGCUUAACACCUGCAAGUCGAACGAAGCACUUUAUUUGAUUUCCUUCGGGACUGAUUAUUUUGUGACUGAGUGGCGGACGGGUGAGUAACGCGUGGGUAACCUGCCUUGUACAGGGGGAUAACAGUUGGAAACGGCUGCUAAUACCGCAUAAGCGCACAGCAUCGCAUGAUGCAGUGUGAAAAACUCCGGUGGUAUAAGAUGGACCCGCGUUGGAUUAGCUAGUUGGUGAGGUAACGGCCCACCAAGGCGGAGAUCCAUAGCCGGCCGGGGGGGGGGCCCGGGCAAAUUGGGAAGGAGCAAAGCCCCAAAACCCUACGGAGGGCAGAGGGGGGGAAUUUUAAACAAUGGGCGAAAGCCUAAGGCCGAGACGCCGGGGGAGCGAAAAAGUAUUUGGGUUUUUAAAGCUAUACCAAAAGGGAAGAUAAUGACGGUACCUGACUAAGAAGCCCCGGCAAAAUGCGG
rnacentral:rRNA from 1 species